CCCUUAGAUGUCCUGGGCCGCACGCGCGUUACACUGAUGCAUUCAACGAGCUUAUAACCUUGGCCGAGAGGCCUGGGCAAUCUUGUUAACGUGCAUCGUGAUAGGGAUAGAUUAUUGAAAUUAUUAAUCUUGAACGAGGAAUUCCUAGUAAACGCAGAUCAUCAAUCUGCAUUGAUUACGUCCCUGCCCCUUGUACACACCGCCCGUCGCACCUACCGAUUGGAUGGUCCGGUGAAGCCUCGGGAUUGUGGUUCUUGCCGCUUUAUUGUGGCGUGACCGCGAGAACUUGUCUAAACCUUAUCAUCUAGAGGAAGGUGAAGUCGUANCA
rnacentral:rRNA from 1 species